rnacentral:lncRNA from 7 species
GUCCUCCUGUCCCAGUCCCUGAACCUCUCAUUUUGGAGGAGUACUGAAACCUGUUCAAGAUUUAUUUUGAUGAAAAAAACAAAGACUUCAGCCUGAGACCUAGAAAUUUCUUCAUGGACUAAGCUGGGAAAAUAGCUGCUCUACUUUACCAGAAUAACUUCCCCCUCACAUACCUCACACACAGUCUGGAUUUUCUAGAGUGUAAAUGGAGAUUGCAAGUCACCUUCAUUUAGCAAGCAAGCAUCUACUUUCUUAUCUGACCUCUUGGGAUGGCAGCAGGUUCUUGGGCUCUUGUCCUCAUGCAGCUGCAUAGAAAUAAAUACCUGUUGCCUCUGGAUAUUUACACCCUCUACAUUCCUGUAGAGAAGCCGGUCCUAAUUUCAGCAGUUCAAUUGGAGUGAAGCCGAUGCCUCUAACUAUCCCUUGCAUCUGUUGAAAAGUACUGCAAGCAAACACAUCUGGGAUAUAACCAUCAUCACACAAAUGUUGUCACCUGUCUGUAGCAAAAAGAAAGUAAGCAUAUUUAGAAUGCCAAUCUGAUCUGAAAAGCUAAGGGAUUACUGCAAUAACUUAGUUUUGGACAAAUGAAGUUUCUUCACAUGGAGAAUAUUAAUUUCUGAACAGCUUUUUUACUAUCCAUUCUUGCACUUCUGGGGAAUGAUAUUAGAGAUACUACGUAUGUACCGUUGCUUGCUCUUGUGUAUGAUAACCACCUGUCACCAGUGCUGGUUUGUGGAUAUAUCAGAAAUUAAGAAAUACCAGUUAAUUAAUAGACAGGUAUAAUGAUAUCAGUGUUGAGAUACAGGGUGAUUCAAGGCUGGUGAAUUACUCACAUCUCCUCUGUGCUGGACACUCUUUGAGUGGCAUGUCUUGAGGGCAGUUUAACAAGACUGCUGCAGAAGCCAUUCACCAUUCAUCUACCCCUACCCUGCAACAAGAGAGACACCAGAACAAUGUGUACCUGCAUGUGUACCUGCUCCCAACUCUGCCCUAUGUAAUGCUUUGGUGGGGAGGAGUCCGAGGAGGUGAUGAAAGCCACAUCUAUGCAUGACUCUUGGGAGAGUAAAGGCAAAUCAGUACU